UCCCGAGUGAAGUUGACGGAUUUUAGCUGCUACAAACACUUUCCAAACAAUAACUUUGCAGGUUGCACUUUUUAAAAGUUUAUGUGAAUUAUAUUGCGCAAAAUGUAUUUUCAAUUAUUUUUACUCAUGUUUUUGUAUUUUUCAAUCCAAAACGUAGAGGCUUCACAAGGUUAUGACUUUGGAGAUUUUUUAGCAACAAUGUUAGGUAUUGGCAUAACGGUGAUUGGUGUUCUUGCAUGCUUAGGCAAUUACGCCAGGCAGAAAGCCAGAAAUGAAUUCAUUUAAUUUUUUAAGUCAUUAUUGUUCCCUAAAGGAUGGUAUUAUAGGUAGAGUGUAACUUUCUAUCUGGUGAUCUUGUACAACAUGAAAAAUAAAUAUUUUAUGCAGUGGAACUUAUCAUAAUCUUGUAUUAUAUCUAACUUCAUUAUAUUAUUAUCUAGGUUAAGUAAUUGUUAUGAUAUAUUAUUAUGUAAUAAAGAAAAGUUAAAUUCA